UACGUAGGUGGCGAGCGUUGUCCGGAUUUACUGGGCGUAAAGGGCGUGCAGGCGGUUUGUUAAGUGCAGGGUGAAAGCUCCCGGCUCAACUGGGAGAGGUCCUUGCAUACUGGCGAACUCGAGGGAGGCAGAGGAAAGUGGAAUUCCCGGUGUAGUGGUGAUAUGCGUAGAUAUCAGGAGGAACACCGAUGGCGAAGGCAGGUCUCUGGGCUGACACUGACGCUCAUGCACGAAAGCGUGGGGAGCAAACAGG
rnacentral:rRNA from 1 species